GUCAGGUGCUGGAUGGAGACUCUCAGAGGACAGUUAUGCUAAGCUACUCCUUGGUGCCCCAUUCAACUCACAACCUGAACGAGGCUUUAUGAUGAUGAUAGGACACAGAGUGCUCCUGACCUCACUUCAUCUCUGUCUCCCUCUGAGAGGCCCUCAGCUCUUGAAGACGCCUGGAAGGAGAAAUGGAAGCAGGAUCACUCAUCCAGUCAUCACUCCCAAAUCUAUAAGAAACUUCCAUAAGGAAUUUUCUUCUUUCUUUCUUUCUUUCUUUCUUUCUUUCUUUCUUUCUUUCUUUCUUUCUUUCUUUCUUUCUUUC
rnacentral:lncRNA from 1 species